rnacentral:rRNA from 1 species
GAUGAACGCUAGCGACAGGCCUAACACAUGCAAGUCGAGGGGCAGCACGAAUCAAGCUUGCUUGAUUUGGUGGCGACCGGCGCACGGGUGCGUAACAGGUGUGCAAUCUGUCCAUAAUCGGGGAAUAGCCCAGCGAAAGUUGGAUUAAUGCUCCAUGUGAGUAAGAGAGGCAUCUCUUUUAUUUGAAACGCAAGGAUUAUGGGUGAGCACGCUUCUGAUUAGGUAGUUGGUGAGGUAACGGCUCACCAAGCCGACGAUCAGUAGGGGUUCUGAGAGGAAGGUCCCCCACAUUGGAACUGAGACACGGUCCAAACUCCUACGGGAGGCAGCAGUGAGGAAUAUUGGUCAAUGGACGGAAGUCUGAACCAGCCAAGUCGCGUGAAGGAUGAAGGUUCUAUGGAUUGUAAACUUCUUUUGUCUGAGGGUAAAAAAGCGGACGUGUCCGUUCUUGCAAGUAUCAGACGAAUAAGCAUCGGCUAACU